GAAAUGUGAAUGACUAUUGGUUUUAAAUUGAAAUACUGCUUUUCAUUUAGCGGAGAAGAGGCAUUUUUCAUUUUCCUUCCCACAGGAGAAUGAGCUAAGUUCAUAGAAUGGAAUUCAGAAUUGAACCCAUUAAGACUUAUGAUUUAUCCUGUGAGAGUAGUCAUAUACAACGCUCGGUACCUUUAUCAUCUACUCCAAAUUAACUAGUCUUCUGGUGAGACACACUAUGUCACAAAUUUUCCUGCAGAUGAUAGAAUUCACUGAUUCACCGCUGAUUGGUAGCCCAUAAAAGUGCCAUUAAGUUGUCAAAAUUAAUAAACUCCAACCCUUGACGACCAAAAACAAGGGCUCCACUGAUCAGAUGGUUCAAGGUAGACUAUCCUAUUACUAAGAUUAUGGUCGGAUAAGUUGAUCUUUUUCCUAUUUUCGGCAACCAAAUAACAACAAAUGCGUGAGGUGAAGGGGAAAUCUAUGGAGACAGCUUAAGUAUUUUGGCCGCUCAAAUCUGCUCGGAGCCUGGGUGGGAUUGUUCGCAGCUCUUGCAUUCAACUUCAUAUAUAUAAUUGUACCUCCAACAUAUCCCCUUGUAUUAAUUAAAGAGGUCAAUAUUUGCGAUAUCUUGCCCAAAACCCUUUUUUCCCGGCAGAAUCCUUCUCUGACAGGGACUUACUCCAUUUGGACCCAAAUGAAAAGUGUCGUCUCAAGAACGGUUUGGCAGAGGAGCUUGCUGCAUUGGAACUAGUCUCCAUCUUUGGAGCUCCUUCCCAUAUGGCAUUUUUUUGGUAGUCAAAAUCAUCAGAAUCACUGUCAAGAUAACUAUCUAUAACACGGCUUCUUGAAAUUUUAUGGCUUCUAGACUUCAAUUCUGCUUCAGCUCUUAAAGCCUUUUUGGUCAUCUUUGAGACUUGCUUCUCUCCUCCCAUGCAUAUUGGGCAAGCUGGGUCAUACCUAUCAACUUCCAGUGUCAUGGUCUCCAAACACUCAGCAUGGUACACAUGACCACAUACCAGCACAGCAACAACCGAGAGUUCAUUGCUGGCAAGAAUUCUCUGGCUGCUCCAAGAAGAUCUCUCUGUCAAGAACUUUGAACAAGCCCCACAAGUUUGAAGAUCUAAUGAAGGCGAACAUGAAAACCUGCUACUGCAUCCACUUACUUUGUUCAAACCAUAACCCAGGUGCUCACUGUCAAAAGACCACCUCUCCCUUUGUGAAGAAGCCACAAGCUCAGAAAAGGUUCGCAUGGACCAACCAUCAGAAGAACCACCAUGUGAUCCCAUUGCUAAGUCGUGGCUACAAGUGGAGAGCACAAAUGAUGACCUACCUUCAGAUAAGGAGUAAUUAUUAGGCGACUUCAAUCCCAUAAUUCGACUAUCAGAAAUCUGCCU
rnacentral:misc_RNA from 1 species